rnacentral:misc_RNA from 1 species
GCUUUUGAGCAUCGUAGACCACUAUAAUAGAGUCGCAAAAGACAGAAGAAUGUUGUUGCGAUUUUGCUUUGAACUUCAUUUAAAGGUCUUUGAAGCAGCUAUUGCAGCCAGGGCGAAAGAAGUAGCAGUCUUUGCAUCAACUUCGGAGUCUUUCACAAAGUCAAAAAUUAAUUGCACCAAUAAGGAGAGCCUUGUUAGAUAUCAAGUUGUUACAUCUGCUGCCAAGAAGCUUGAAAUACCUAUUCGCAAAUAUGUAUCCUGUGCUAUUGGGUGCCCAGUUAAAGGAGUGAUUUCACCUUCAAAAGUGGCAUAUGUAGCAAAGGAGCUUCAUGACAUGAAUCAAAGGCUCUUACUAUUGAUGAUUUAUGCCUUUUCCUUCAGGGCUUCUGUUGGCUUUCUUACUAUUGAUGAUUUAUGCCUUUUCCUUCAGGGCUUCUGUUGGCUU